ACUCUAGCGGAACUGCCAGCGUAAGCUGCGAGGAAGGUGGGGAUGACGUCAAAUCAGCACGGCCCUUACGUCCAGGGCUACACACGUGUUACAAUGGCCAGUACAGAGGGCAGCCACCCCGCGAGGGGGCGCUAAUCCUAAAAGCUGGUCCCAGUUCGGAUCGGAGUCUGCAACCCGACUCCGUGAAACUGGAUUCGCUAGUAAUCGCGCAUCAGCCACGGCGCGGUGAAUACGUUCCCGGGCCUU
rnacentral:rRNA from 1 species